rnacentral:rRNA from 1 species
GACGAACGCUGGCGGCGUGCCUAAUACAUGCAAGUCGAGCGAAUCUCGAGGAGCUUGCUCCUUGAGAUUAGCGGCGGACGGGUGAGUAACACGUGGGCAACCUGCCUGUAAGACUGGGAUAACACCGGGAAACCGGUGCUAAUACCGGAUAAUUCUUCUCCUCACAUGAGGGGAAGCUGAAAGUCGGUUUCGGCUGACACUUACAGAUGGGCCCGCGGCGCAUUAGCUAGUUGGUGAGGUAACGGAUCACCAAGGCGACGAUGCGUAGCCGACCUGAGAGGGGGAUCGGCCACACUGGGACUGAGCCACGGCCCAGACACCGACGGGAGGCAGCAGUAGGGAAUCUUCCGCAAUGGACGAAAGUCUGACGGAGCAACGCCGCGUGAGUGAUGAAGGCCUUCGGGUCGUAAAACUCUGUUGUUAGGGAAGAACAAGUAUCGGAGUAACUGCCGGUACCUUGACGGUACCUAACCAGAAAGCCACGGCUAUCUACGUGCCAGCCGCCGCCGUAA